AACGAACGCUGGCGGCAUGCCUAACACAUGCAAGUCGAACGAGACCUUCGGGUCUAGUGGCGCACGGGUGCGUAACGCGUGGGAACCUGCCCUUAGGUUCGGAAUAACUCCCCGAAAGGGGUGCUAAUACCGGAUAAUGUCUUCGGACCAAAGAUUUAUCGCCUUUGGAUGGGCCCGCGUUGGAUUAGCUAGUUGGUAGGGUAAAAGCCUACCAAGGCGACGAUCCAUAGCUAGUCUGAGAGGAUGAUCAGCCACACUGGGACUGAGACACGGCCCAGACUCCUACGGGAGGCAGCAGUGGGGAAUAUUGGACAAUGGGCGAAAGCCUGAUCCAGCAAUGCCGCGUGAGUGAUGAAGGCCUUAGGGUUGUAAAGCUCUUUUACCCGGGAUGAUAAUGACAGUACCGGGAGAAUAAGCUCCGGCUAACUCCGUG
rnacentral:rRNA from 1 species